rnacentral:rRNA from 1 species
UACAGAGGGUGCAAACGUUGCUCGGAAUCAUUGGGCGUAAAGCGCGUGUAGGCGGCACGACAAGUCAGCUGUGAAAGCCCUCGGCUCAACCGAGGAAGUGCAGCUGAAACUGUCGAGCUAGAGUGCUGAAGAGGGUGGCGGAAUGCGCAGUGUAGAGGUGAAAAUUCGUAGAUAUUGCGUAGAACACCAGUGGCGAAGGCG